UACGUAGGGGGGCAAGCGUUGUCCGGAUUUAUUGGGCGUAAAGAGCGUGUAGGCGGCCUGGUAGGUCAGUUGUGAAAACUCGAGGCUCAACCUCGAGACGCCGAUUGAAACCAUCAGGCUAGAGUCCGGAAGAGGAGAGUGGAAUUCCCGGUGUAGCGGUGAAAUGCGCAGAUAUCAGGAAGAACACCAAUGGCGAAGGCAGCUCUCUGGGACGGUACUGACGCUGAGACGCGAAAGCGUGGGGAGCGAACAGG
rnacentral:rRNA from 1 species